rnacentral:rRNA from 1 species
AAAGUCGUGUCGGUGGAUCACUUGGUUCAUGGGUCGAUGAAGAACGCAGCUAAAUGCGAUAAGUAAACCGAAUUGCUAAGCAGAGGUUUUAAUCUUUGAAUGCACAUUGCGCUAUAGAGUGACUUGUCACCUCUGGCAUAUAACUUUGAGGGUU